UAAUGCUCUUAAAAGAAAGAGAUUUUUCUUCUUCAACAUCUUCUAGAGCUUCGAUGGCCUUGUAUUGGCAAGAGAAAUCGGAAAAAGGGCAUGAAGGUUGUGUGAUAUCCACUUGGACGUUUGACCUCUCACAAAUGUCAUGAAUUCGACACCAAUGAAGACUUCUUCAGCUUCAACCUGCUCCGACUAAUACCAGCUCAAAUUUUGAGCUCAAAGAGCUAAUACCACUACAUCAACCCUUGAAUCUGAAAGGUGCCAAGUUAUUCAGAUCAGUGACAUUACUAUUCAUGUCUUCAGUACCUUCCAAGACUGAUGCAUCAUCCCUUUGACACAUUAUCUUAUUAAUGUUUGUAUUAAUGCUAUGUUUCCCAUCACCCUUCCUGUGAUAUGUGAUAAAAGCUUUAGUGACCCACUCUUUAGUGGAUGA